CAUAAUAGAUGUCAGUAUUGAAUAUAAUAGUGUAGCAUCAAAGGCAGAAGUCUACCAGAGUUUACUAUGGUUAGAGCAGUAAUGGCAUUGCUGGAUUAGCAUAAAACCAUCUGAGAUUGUUCACUCUUCGACGCCUGCCUACAAAAGCAAUCGCCCACUCACAAAUGACAAUUAUUCCAAUGAGCAACCCGAUCCUGAAGUGGGAUUCUAUCAGCUCCCAGCACCCACAUCAGAUUGGAAUGACUAGUCUACCACACAUUCCUCAACAUUUCAUGUUGCAAUGAAAAGAGGAGAACUUGUGGUGCAUUUGGUGUGUGUGUGUGUGUGUGUGUAGACUUGUGUUACAGGUAGUGAUGUGCAGGCUGCAGUAUCCCCUGUACUGUAGGUGUGUUUGUCAGACGUUUGAGGUGGAUGACUUGUGUGAGAGGACUAGUGAGUGUCCAUGUGGGCAGUGUUUUACUGUUUCCCUCCCCAUAGGAGCAGUGUUUUACUGUUUCCCUCCCCAUAGGAGCAGUGUUUUACUGUUUCCCUCCCCAUAGGGCAGUGUUUAACUGUUUCCCUCCCCAUAGGAGCAGUGUUUUACUGUUUCCCUCCCCAUAGGGGCAUGUUUUACUGUUUCCCUCCCCAUAGGAGCAGUGUUUUACUGUUUCCCUCCCCAUAGGGCAGUGUUUUACUGUUUCCCUCCCCAUAGGGGCAGUGUUUAACUGUUUCCCUCCCCAUAGGAGCAGUGUUUUACUGUGUUUUACUGUUUUACUGUGUUUUACUGUUUCCCUCCCCAUAGGAGCAGUGUUUUACUGUUUCCCUCCCCAUAGGAGCAGUGUUUUACUGUUUCCCUCCCCAUAGGGCAGUGUUUUACUGUUUCCCUCCCCAUAGGGCAGUUGUUUAACUGUUUCCCUCCCCAUAGGAGCAGUGUUUUACUGUUUCCCUCCCCAUAGGGCAGUGUUUAACUGUUUCCCUCCCCAUAGGGCAGUGUUUUACUGUUUCCCUCCCCAUAGGAGCAGUGUUUUACUGUUUCCCUCCCCAUAGGGCAGUGUUUAACUGUUUCCCUCCCCAUAGGAGCAGUGUUUUACUGUUUCCCUCCCCAUAGGAGCAGUGUUUUACUGUUUCCCUCCCCAUAGGAGCAGUGUUUUACUGUUUCCCUCCCCAUAGGGCAGUGUUUUACUGUUUCCCUCCCCAUAGGGGCAGUGUUUUACUGUUUCCCUCCCCAUAGGAGCAGUGUUUUACUGUUUCCCUCCCCAUAGGGCAGUGUUUAACUGUUUCCCUCCCCAUAGCGGCAGUGUUUUACUGUUUCCCUCCCCAUAGGGGCAGUGUUUUACUGUUUCCCUCCCCAUAGGAGCAGUGUUUUACUGUUUCCCUCCCCAUAGGAGCAGUGUU
rnacentral:lncRNA from 1 species